rnacentral:rRNA from 1 species
UACGGAGGGGGCGAGCGUUAUUCGGAAUCAUUGGGCGUAAAGGGCGCGUAGGCGGCUUCGCAAGUCAAAGGUGAAAUCCCUCGGCUCAACCGAGGAAUUGCCUUUGAAACUGCGUGGCUUGAGGCCGGGAGGGGGCGGUGGAAUUCCCAGUGUAGCGGUGAAAUGCGUAGAGAUUGGGAGGAACACCAGUGGCGAAGGCGGCCGCCUGGACCGGUUCUGACGCUGAUGCGCGAAAGCGUGGGUAGCAAACAGGAUUAGAUACCCCCGUAGUCC